UACGGGAGGCAGCAGUGGGGAAUAUUGCACAAUGGGCGAAAGCCUGAUGCAGCUAUGCCGCGUGUAUGAAGAAGGCCUUAGGGUUGUAAAGUACUUUCAUCGGGGAGGAAAAAACAAAACUAAUAAUUUUAUUUCUUGACGUUACCCGAAAAAGAAGCACCGGCUAACUCCGUGCCAGCAGCCGCGGUAAUACGGAGGGUGCUAGCGUUAAUCAGAAUUACUGGGCGUAAAGAGCACGUAGGUGGUUUUUUUAAGUCAGAUGUGAAAUCCCUGGGCUUAACCUAGGAACUGCAUUUUGAAACUGAAAUACUAGAGUAUCGUAGAGGGAGGUAGAAUUCUAGGUGUAGCGGUGAAAUGCGUAGAUAUCUGGAGGAAUACCUGUGGCGAAAGCGGCCUCCUAAACGAAUACUGACACUGAGGUGCGAAAGCGUGGGGAGCGAAAACAGGGAUUAGAUACCCGU
rnacentral:rRNA from 1 species